rnacentral:lncRNA from 1 species
CCUCCUAGCUAGUUUGAAGUGUUGGAUUGCUUUCCUCCAAGACUUGGUAUGUCCUCAUGGAUUCGAGGAUAAGACUUUUAAGUUCUUUUGUUCAUGUAAUAGACUUAAUAGACUUCUUUUGAUUGUAAAGGGCCGUGUCCCUACUUAUGUUUUGUGACUGUGUCUAAGAUGGCCAUGUGAGACUUAGACUUUCGCUGUGUGUUUUUAAAGUUGUUUUAAUGAAGUUUAAAUGUGUGGAUGUAAAUAAGUUUUUUUUUUAUUCCGCACUAUUUUCAUUAUUGAAUGCAAUGAAUGAC